AGCGGCGGACGGGUGAGUAACGCGUGGGUAACCUGCCCUAUACACAUGGAUAACAUACUGAAAAGUUUACUAAUACAUGAUAAUAUAUAUUUACGGCAUCGUAGAUAUAUCAAAGUGUUAGCGGUAUAGGAUGGACCCGCGUCUGAUUAGCUAGUUGGUGAGAUAACUGCCCACCAAGGCGACGAUCAGUAGCCGACCUGAGAGGGUGAUCGGCCACAUUGGAACUGAGACACGGUCCAAACUCCUACGGGAGGCAGCAGUGGGGAAUAUUGCACAAUGGGCGCAAGCCUGAUGCAGCAACGCCGCGUGAACGAUGAAGGUCUUCGGAUCGUAAAGUUCUGUUGCAGGGGAAGAUAAUGACGGUACCCUGUGAGGAAGCCCCGGCUAACUACGUGCCAGCAGCCGCGGUAAUACGUAGGGGGCUAGCGUUAUCCGGAUUUACUGGGCGUAAAGGGUGCGUAGGUGGUCUUUCAAGUCGGUGGUUAAAGGCUACGGCUCAACCGUAGUUAGCCUCCGAAACUGGAAGACUUGAGUGCAGGAGAGGAAAGUGGAAUUCCCAGUGUAGCGGUGAAAUGCGUAGAUAUUGGGAGGAACACCAGUAGCGAAGGCGGCUUUCUGGACUGCAACUGACACUGAGGCACGAAAGCGUGGGUAGCAAACAGGAUUAGAUACCCUGGUAGUCCACGCUGUAAACGAUGAGUACUAGGUGUCGGGGGUUACCCCCCUCGGUGCCGCAGCUACGCAUUAAGUACUCCCC
rnacentral:rRNA from 1 species